rnacentral:rRNA from 1 species
AUCCACUCCCCCCCUCUCAUCCCACAGCCGCCACCCCCAACCCUCUCGCACCUUCUCUCAAUCCCAACCACCCAGCUGCCGCCGUCCUCCGUCCUCUCCCCCAACCACGGUCACCGACAACCCCUCCCCUCCCCUUCUCUCCCACGGCCGCGGUCGGAUCCGCUCGUCCCUUCCACAUCGCAGCCGCCACCUCCUUCCUUCCAGAUCGCGGCCGCCACCUCCCUCCCGCGGAGCUCCCCGCCGUCCAUGGCCUCCCCCACGCCCUCGUCUCUCCCUUCCCCUCACUCGCGCCGCCACCACCACCGCCGCGGCCGUGGAGGAGUACGAGGCGCCUCCGCUCAGGCUCCUCUGACCAUAUAAGCGGGCUAGUGCUCCCCCUCUCGCCUUCGUCUUCUUCCCUCGCCGUCCGCUGCCAUCGGGAUCUGCCGACGGAAUGGAGGCGGUAGACAACGCCAGUUCUGUGCAGGCGGCAAUUCGAUGGCUGCUUCAGACCAUCCUUCCGAGCCUCGGCAAGCUGGACGGGUGGAUUCGCCAAGCAGGGCCCUCUGCCGAGGUGGAGGGGCUGAGGGACGAGAUCGAGCAAGUCGACGGGGUCGUCUCUGCCGUGAACGACAGGGCGGCCCGAAACAGGUGGGUGGCCAGAUCCCUCGCAGCCCUCAAGCAGCUGCUCUACCACGCCGACGACACGGUCGACUAGCUCGACUGGUACAGGUUUCAGCAGGAGCUCCACGUCCACGGAGGCCCAUGGCAUUGGCACCAUCCCAACGAAAUUGAUGGACCAAGUAACCAGCUGCCAAGUUCUUCAAGAAGAAAAAGGAGAAGGGGCAACAUGGAGAAAGACGCGGUGCUGGUGUGCAUGGUCCUGGGUUUUCUAGGCUCCGUCGCGGUCACCCUCGGCUUCGUCGCCAACAACUACAGCUCCAAGUACAACGGGACGAACUGCGUGUAUCGGAGCCUGCCGGCGAUGGGUCUCGGCAUCCUGGGGGUGUUCCUGGUGUUCAUCAACCAGGUCAUCGUCGCCGCCUACGCCAGCGGCUGGUGCCUCUGCCUGUGUUGCUGCUGCCCCUGCUGGACCAAGCGCCGCCGGAUGGCGCCAACACCGUCCAAGUGGAACCCAGUAUAGAGUUCGUACGCUGAUUUAACUAGUUGAAACCUGUCCAUUAUUAACUAACCCCUGUUUCUUGAUGGUGUCUAUCUCCACGGGAUAUAAAAUGUGUCAUUGUUAAUAUUGCAUUGGUCCUUGUUGCUCUGUUGGCGUUAGUUACCUUCUUGUCACAUACUCCCUCCAUCCCACAAUAUAAGAUGUUUGUGCAAGCUAACAUUGCUUGCAAAAAUGUCUUACAUUAUGGGACGGAGGGAGCAAUAAGAAGGUGAAUUCUUAUACACUUUUAAGUCCUGUUAAUAACUAUUCAGGGGGCAAUAUUCGUUUCAUGAAUCAUCUAUAAAUAUCAUUCACGUGGUAUUGGGUCAGUUUCUAGCUACCAUUUCUAUACACAUUAUCUGUGUGUUGGCGCCAGUACUUUCAUGACUUGCUAUUCUUAUUCAAGUGGGCGAACUAAGUCAUUUUUUAUUCAGUUUGCGUUCUGCUAUGCCAAAGCCGGCAAUAUGAGCAUCACUAUACACUUUUCACCACUCCACUCCCUCCCAUGCAAAAUCAUCCUCUCAGCUCUCACCCAUCGACGGGGAAUUUUCCAAUCGACACUUCAUUUCGUUGCUAGUACGUAUUACACACACAUGCUCCAUAGCAAAUCCAACUGCAUUCUCUUGUCAAUUUAGGACUGGUAAGUAGGUGCCGCUGAGUCUGAGUGAGUGGUAAACAGUAUAGAGCUUGGACGCUAAUCAAGCUGAUUUAACUAGUAGAUGUCUAGAUUAAACCUGUCCAUUAUUAACCCCUGCUCCUUGAUGAUGUCGAUCUCCACAUCCACAAUAUGUAAACGUGUCAACUUUAAUAUUGCACUGAUCCUUACUGUUUUGUUGGCUUUAGUUAACUUUUUUUCAUAUAAUAAAAACGUGAUCUCGUUAUACAAUUUUGGGUUCUGUCAAUUAAUAGUUUGGAAAGCCUACAAGCCCUCUUAUAGUUAACUAAAAGGUUGUUGAACGUUUUUAACAACUGACUGUUGGACAUUCCCAUGCUGUACAUCACUGAUUAUGUACAACUUGGUACAAAAUUGGUCCGAUAUUAGUUUUAUAUAACAAAAGUAGGGAGGUUCCUGCUGCUUAUUAGUAUCAGCUUUGGAUUAUUACUGUGUUUGGUUCACCACUGUACUGAUUAUCUUGGUGAGCAUUUGUUCAAUAACUGGAAUACAUUGUCUGCUAGGAACUCUAUUUACCUUUGCGUACUAUUACAAAUGUCUGUGAGGGUGCUUUGUGCUACUACUAUAAUUUCAUUCAUGAAUUCUGCACAUAGAUUUUUCAUCCUGCUAUAAAAUUGCUUGUGCCUGAAUCUGUUUUCCGUUGCUAGUCAGAAGUCAAUUAUUACUGGUGUGUUCAGGAUUCUAUUUCCGUCAUCUAAAAUAUGUGUUAAUUCUGAUACAACGUACAGAGCUAUGUGAGCCCUCCUGGAUGGGGCUUCGGUUGGACCUCUGAUUGAGCUCCCCAUAGAUUUUGACCCAAGGUAAACACGAAUUUGCUUUUGUUGUUGCUGUAAAUGUCCCUGUCUUGUAGAGAGUAACAAAACCAUAUGUCAUGGGAGUGUGACACGUACUGUUUGUGAAUGCCUGUGAUAGGAUUAUUGGAUAUUUGCUGAUUAUAUGUCCUUAUCCAUCAUUGUCUGGUUGUUCUUGCAAUCACUAUUAGUUAGGUUGUGUAGGUGCCAAAUUCUGCUUCUGGAUUAGUCUAUUGUUCUCCUGAGACCCUCCUUUUUCCUACAUUGUCUACUGUUUGGAUGGGCCGCUAUCAUUAUAGUCUUUUAAUUGAUGCUACCUAUAUUGACAGUUUGUAUCUAGGCCCUUCGCGGUGGGGUUUGGACGCUGUGUCUGGGUUAUUGUUAUUGAACUUUGGGCCUAAGCAUGGACUUUUGGGGCCUUCAUUUUUGUUGGUGGUUCUGAAUUUGUGUACCUACAGUUCUACAAAAUUGAUAUGACUGAUUGUUUUGUUGCUUGGACAAUAACUUGCUAUUUAUGUACCUAAAGUUCUAGUUUGUUGCUGCUCAAUGCUCACAUUCGUUUCUCAUCCUUGCUAUUUAUGUUGGCUGACAUUACUUGCUUGUUGCUAUUGUGCGACCAGCAUCCGCGUGACAGGGUUUGUCGGAACCGCCAUCGCUUUAGGGUGCUUCUCCAGUGCCGCUAUCAUCACCAAGCGCAGGGAGUACCUGUACCUCGGUGGCCUGACCUCUUCUGGCAUGUCGAUCCUUCGACAUGAAACUGUAUGCUCGGUUUCUUCUCUCCCUUUUGGUGCGCAUGCCAUUACUGCAUGGUGACCACGUAGCUCAAGAACGCAGGCGACAAGAAGAGGUAGAGGAGGUCUUGAACGUUUCUCCCACACAUCGUAGAUACCACCACCGCGGCCUUCUAGGAAUUAAGCUGGCGCUGUGCCACCCUUGUGUAUCUAUUUUUGAUUGUAUGUGGAAGUUGGACGUGCAUACGUGUAUUUGCUCUUGUGAGUAUUUGACUGGAUGAUCUCUGGAUUUAAUCAGUUAAUUGAUAGAUUUAUUGAUAUUUUGUUGUUCAAAUGUGUAAAUUGAAAUAUGUGAAUGAAAAAGACCAAAUGUUCUACUUGAUAAAAUAAUAUUUG